rnacentral:rRNA from 1 species
UAGCGAAGGGGGCUAGCGUUGCUCGGAUUGACUGGGCGUAAAGGGCGCGUAGGCGGUUCGUACAGUCAGACGUGAAAUUCCUGGGCUCAACCUGGGGGCUGCGUUUGAUACGUGCGGACUUGAGUGCGGAAGAGGGUCGUGGAAUUCCCAGUGUAGAGGUGAAAUUCGUAGAUAUUGGGAAGAACACCGGUGGCGAAGGCGGCGAUCUGGACGAUGACUGACGCUGAGACGCGAAAGCGUGGGGAGCAAACAGG